rnacentral:lncRNA from 1 species
UCAAAUCUUGCCUUGCAGAUAUCCUUGCAGCAGUAGGACCACCAGUCUGCCUCUUCUCAGAUCCCAGCAGACAGAAACUGUCUUCCGAAGGAAACCAGAACCAGACUGUAAAGCCCUGAUCUUCUAGGUCUCAAAAGGGAUGGCAGGAGCUUUGCAGUUCACCUGUUGGAUGAGUGUACCUCGUACAAGUGUACCCGUUAGACUACCAGGAAAUGAAGAUGAGAAAUUUCCAAGAAAUCUGCUGUCCUACACAUCAGCCACAGGUUGCACGGGACAGCUGAAGGCCCUGUGAUUCAGGUUGGAGUCAGCAUGAAUCUGCUGCCCUGUGAAUGCCAGGAGCUGAGCCACAAUCCUACUACGCUGCACAACCAACAGAAAGUCAUUGGGACAAUGUGUGACAUGAGCAGUUUCUUGAUUUCGUUCAUUCUAGCAUUGGGCUCAUUCGCUCUCAAGACUGCACGAGCUGCUGAGCAACUACUGUCCUUGUCCUUGGGAGGCCAAGCUCAACGGCAUGAGGUACAUGGCUCCAGCCCAGUUUCCAGUGUCAUUCAUCUGCAGUGACAGAUGUAUGCUGCCUUCCUUGCUACCUUCAUAUCUUCAAGCAUGAAGAAAGAAACCCUCCACCUUCCAGUGUUCUCCAUCCAUUUGGCACCCUCAUGACAAAAGCCUGCCAGCUAUAACACAAUAUACCAGGAACUCUGCGAUGAAAAUCCCCAGUCGUUACUUGAGUCCAUGCCUUUUUCUCUCCUACCCAAUCUGCUUUUCCUAAAAUUCCUCCUGUCGUGGCUUCAUAUGGGGCCACGCUCCCACUCUACACAGCAUCACAGAAUCGUCAUGGUUGGAAAGGACCUCUGAGAUCACCAAGUCCAACCACACACACACAAAACACACAACCCAACAAUCCCGGGCACUAGAGCAUGCCCUGAAGUGCCACGUCUACACACGUUUCUUAAAUCCCUCCAGGGAUGGUGACUCCACCACCUCCCUGGGCAGGCCGUUCCAGUGCCUGACCACCCUCUCAGGAAAGUCAUUCUUCCCAAUAUCUAAUCUAAACCUCC